AGCCUUUAGCUCAAAUAGUAUUAAAGGUGAUGCCUGCCCAGUGAUUCUUUUCAACGGCCGCGGGAUCCUACACCGUGCAAAGGUAGCAUAAUCACUUGUCACCUAAAUAGUGACUAGUAUGAAUGGCCUAAUGAGGACUUUUCUGUCUCUUGUAAUCAAUCAAUGAAACUGAUCUCCCAGUCCAAAAGCUGGGAUAAAACCACAAGACGAAAAGACCCUGUGGAACUUUUAAGUGCUAAUCAUUAUGUGACCAAAACACUUUUAGUUGGGGCAACUUUGGAACAAAGUAAAACUUCCAAUUAAUUUAUUAUACCUAAUCUAGGUACCACACACCAACAUUAAAAAUACCCUUGACCCAGUACCACUGAUCAAAGAAACAAGCUACCCCAGGGAUAACAGCGCCAUCCCCUCUUAGAGUCCUAAUCGACGAGCGGGGCUUACGACCUCGAUGUUGGAUCAGGGCCCCCCAACAGUGCAGCAGCUGUUAAAGGUUUGUUUGUUCAACAAUUAAUGCCCU
rnacentral:rRNA from 1 species